ACUCCUACGGGAGGCAGCAGUGGGGAAUCUUGCGCAAUGGGCGAAAGCCUGACGCAGCCAUGCCGCGUGAAUGAUGAAGGUCUUAGGAUUGUAAAAUUCUUUCACCGGGGACGAUAAUGACGGUACCCGGAGAAGAAGCCCCGGCUAACUUCGUGCCAGCAGCCGCGGUAAUACGAAGGGGGCUAGCGUUGCUCGGAAUUACUGGGGCGUAAAGGGGAGCGUAGGCGGACAUUUAAGUCAGGGGUGAAAUCCCGGGGGCUCAACCUCGGAAUUGCCUUUGAUACUGGGGUGUCUUGAGUAUGAGAGAGGUGUGUGGAACUCCGAGUGUAGAGGUGAAAUUCGUAGAUAUUCGGAAGAACACCAGUGGCGAAGGCGACACACUGGCUCAUUAUUGACGCUGAGGCUCGAAAGCGUGGGGAGCAAACAGGAUUAGAUACCCUGGUAGGAUAGCG
rnacentral:rRNA from 1 species